GGGUAAAUGGAGUUUAUCCAUGUACUGUGAGAUGGGCCCGCGGCGCAUUAGCUAGUUGGUAGGGUAACGGCCGUACCAAGGCCACGACUGCGUAGCCGACCUGAGAGGGUGAUCGGCCACACUGGAACUGAGACACGGUCCAGACUCCUACGGGAGGCAGCAGUAGGGAAUCAUCCGCAAUGGACGAAAGUCUGACGGUGCAACGCCGCGUGAACGAUGAAGGUCUUCGGAUCGUAAAGUUCUGUUAUGAGGGAAGAACACGUGCCGUUCGAAUAGGGCGGCACCUUGACGGUACCUCAUCAGAAAGCCCCGGCUAACUACGUGCCAGCAGCCGCGGUAAUACGUAGGGGGCAAGCGUUGUCCGGAAUUAUUGGGCGUAAAGCGCGCGUAGGCGGUUUUUUAAGUCUGAUGUGAAAGCCCACGGCUCAACCGUGGAGGGUCAUUGGAAACUGGAAAACUUGAGUGCAGAAGAGGAAAGUGGAAUUCCAUGUGUAGCGGUGAAAUGCGCAGAGAUAUGGAGGAACACCAGUGGCGAAGGCGACUUUCU
rnacentral:rRNA from 1 species